GAUGAACGCUGGCGGCGUGCCUAAUACAUGCAGGUCGAGCGAACAGACGAGGAGCUUGCUCCUUUGACGUUAGCGGCGGACGGGUGAGUAACACGUGGGUAACCUACCUAUAAGACUGGGAUAACUUCGGGAAACCGGAGCUAAUACCGGAUAAUAUUUCGAACCGCAUGGUUCGAUAGUGAAAGAUGGCUUUGCUAUCACUUAUAGAUGGACCUGCGCCGUAUUAGCUAGUUGGUAAGGUAACGGCUUACCAAGGCAACGAUACGUAGCCGACCUGAGAGGGUGAUCGGCCACACUGGAACUGAGACACGGUCCAGACUCCUACGGGAGGCAGCAGUAGGGAAUCUUCCGCAAUGGGCGAAAGCCUGACGGAGCAACGCCGCGUGAGUGAUGAAGGUCUUCGGAUCGUAAAACUCUGUUACUAGGGAAGAACAAACGUGUAAGUAACUGUGCACGUCUUGACGGUACCUAAUCAGAAAGCCACGGCUAACUACGUG
rnacentral:rRNA from 1 species